rnacentral:rRNA from 1 species
UACGGAGGGUGCAAGCGUUGUUCGGAAUUACUGGGCGUAAAGCGCGUGUAGGCGGUCUCUUUAGUCCGGUGUGAAAGCCCGGGGCUCACCCUCGGAAGUGCAUCGGAUACUGGGAGACUUGAGUACCGGAGAGGAGGGUGGAAUUCCUGGUGUAGCGGUGAAAUGCGUAGAUAUCAGGAGGAACACCGGUGGCGAAGGCGGCCCUCUGGACGGAUACUGACGCUGAGACGCGAAAGCGUGGGGAGCAAACAGG